rnacentral:piRNA from 1 species
UGAGAGCCUCAACUGUUGUAGGACCUCCA